rnacentral:sRNA from 1 species
AAUCUCGGGAACCUCUGGGAAUUUGCUCUUCAUGUAGCAAACAGCCUAGUAAGAAAAACUAGCUUGGGGGCCAGUCUUGGCUGGGAAGAGGAAGUUAAAUGAAACUGUCUGACGUUAAAUCCGUGCUCUCCCUGGCAGAGCCCACCUGGUGGAUGCCACCGAUGAAUGAUAAACCCUGUGAACACACGGAGACUGUCGAUUUCAGGGGAAAGCAUGUGACUGAAUACUUGCCCGAUACUUAUCAACUAUUAUGAAUUAUUGAUUUUCAUAAUCCCCCACCACCUCGCACGGCCCGCUCCUCCCUCCACGGUGAGGGUGGCGGCAGAAUUGUAAGCAUCUCUGGUAUAAUCCUGUCUCCUCCCUUCUUGUUCUCCCCUCUUUGGCAGAGUUCCUUCGGAAAGGCUGGAACGAACUCCCUGCCAGCAGGAGGCAGCCAAUUCCAGCUUCCUGGGGCUUUGAAACUGGGCCUGGCUCACCCAGCAGGCUGUUGAUAAAGUGGGGAAGUGUUAGAGUAAGCUAGAGACCCCGCUUUGAGAUCCCAGGUCAUCUGGAAACGAGCGAGCGAGCGGUUUUUGCAGAACAAGGGAACUAUCCUGCGUGUAGAAAGGGGACGAUAUGGCAGAUGGUCUUAAGAUGACUUUGGGAGUCAAAUAAAAAUCACAGGCUCUUAUUGGCAUAGAUCAUAGGAGAGAAGACACUCCCUUGGAAAAGGAAGUUUGUUUAAGGACAAAAUCAAGAGAGCUUGACCUUGCCGUGGGGUUGUCCAGUCUAAGAGGGUGAAAAUAUCCUUAGGACAGUAAAAGACAAUGUCCUUUGACCAUGCCGAUGGCAGCCAUCCCUCACAGUGGCACAGCCACUCCGAGCCCAGACUUGAAUUCCUUACUCAAUUAAAACGCCCACCAAGAUCAGGCACAGUUUAAACCAUGCCAUGCAGGAUGCCGACAGCCUUUCUGGAAGAAGCCGUAGAAAGGACUCUGAGGAAGGGCUUGGAAAAUCUUGAGAGAGGACAGACCACCGGCCAUCCCCCUGAUGAUGCCUCUCAUCCUGCUCUCUCGGGAAGCUUCCCCCCGGGGGGGGGGGGAGUGUGGAGCAGAUAUAAGAAAUGGAGACUGCAGGGCUAGAAGUUUCCACAACUUGGAGGUCCUGAGAUAAAGUUGGCAACCUACCUGUGGACUCUGGUGGCCUUUGGGAGAAGAGCCUAGAAAAAAUGAAAGCAGAGUUGGCAGGAGACCCAGGGGAGCUAGCUGGAAGGCCCGGCUGAAACAGGCUCCGAGCCUAGUCUGAGCCGCAGAGGAGCAACAGAGAAGGAUCCAAGGCUGGCUCCGUACCUUGCCAGCAGUGUGACCAUGGGCCUACUUAACUUCUUAAGUCACAGUUGUUGUUGUUUUUUUUCCUUGUUGGGACAUUGCACAUAGAGUUGCUGAGAAUACUAAAGGUCACCAAACUAAAUGCUUGGUGUGAAUCUGAUACUUAAGAAAUAUCCAUCCAUCCAUCCAUCCAUCCAUCCAUCCAUCAUCAUCAUCAUCAUCACCAUCACCAUCAUCACCAUCACCAUCGUCACCGAAAUAAGAGGACUUUAGACCAUGUGGCUCCCAGGACUUGGUAAGCAACGUUUUCACAUAAAUACCAAGUCAGUUGAUAUCUGUGGUCACUCUAGGAAGCUGCCACUUCUCUUAAGAUGGCAGGUGCUGAUGGUAUAGAGUUUAACCACAUGAAGGAACUAAAACGAACCAAAUGAACCAAAAACAAAACAAAACAACCCCACCAGUCUGGUGAGAACUUCCACACCUAGGGUUGACCUAGACGUGGUCCAGAGUUUGAAAAAGAGGUUUCCAAGAGAGAGGGUGAAUGUUCUUCUUAACCCACAGCCCUUGAGCAUGUGUGAGCCGAAGAGGGUAAGAGGACUCUGUUUUGAGACCCCGGUACCAAGGUGGUGGUCUCCUCUAGUUAGAGCCAUCACCAUGGUGUGAGCAUGUGGUAUAUACCAUGACAAUUGCACACAGAGGAGGUACCGGGCUUUUGCAGUGAUAUGAGGCAGAUGACACCUUUAUCCAGGGCCAAGGCUGAGAGUCACCAGAGUCACUGAUGCUUUGCUUUAGCAGAGGCUCAACCUUGGUGGGCCAAGCUCUGCAGCCAUUGGAGGAACUGGCCACGCUCAGAGCUGCCGAAGUGGGUCCCAGGAGUGCGCUGGCGAUCUAGAAGGGCGGAUGAAAGCAGAGGAGAGAGGAACAGCCUGUGCUGUGGUGACUUACAGCUGAAGAAAAGAAAGACUGAAGUGAAGAGGAAGGGGAGAGAAGGAGAUAAAACCCCCAACACACCAGAUCAGAAUAGGCUAAGGAUCUUUGACCACACCCAGGAUCUGUGAAGCAGCAGAGAAAUGAUCCAGUAACCUUCACUUGCUGAUGGACGGCAGACAUUGGGCCUGCUGGAAUAUCGUUCCUACUUGCUCCGUGGCCUUGAACGCAUUGCUUGGCCUCUCUGUGUCUCACUUUCUACAUUGAUAAGGUCUCCAUGCACCGCAGUGGUUUCCUGGAAUAAAGCUGAGGAAAGGUGAUCUCACCCCCGUCUACAUGGAGGAAGUUGUGCGAGUAUGGGGCUUCCACGAGAUGUUUCUUCACUGAUGGAAGGGAUUUAAUGUGUGCUUCCCUGGGAUUGCCACAGCAAAGAAAUGAUUUUUACAAGACCUUGCUCAUGACCUGCCUCCUGUUAUCCAAUGUCUCCUCACCGAAUAUAAGAGCCUCCUCCUGAAUCUGUCAGAAGGAUCUUGGAAGGAAAGGAUGAGAGAGAAAAACAGGCCUUCAGAGCUGGAGAACGGAUAUGAUUAUCUAUAACCCAGAUCAAGACCAGCUCCUCCAUUGAUUCUCAGCUUUGUGGAUAAGACUAAGUGAAGACAGUGCCCACUGAGCCCUGGGCCUGUGUUCCUGGGACUCUCGUUGCAGAACAGGUCCAUGACGGUGUUAGAACCUUCAGUGUCCCUGCCUUCCUGUAUCUUGGGUGUCCACAUUACCUGAUUGUUGAUGAACCUACAUGAUGAAGGUUGCUCAUGUUCUGGGUUUCCUGUUCCUGUCUUAGGUCAGUUUCCCUUUUCUCCACGUUCAUCUUCCUUUCCAUUUCCACGGUUCUGCUUAAGUGUUAGCCCCUUGAACUUGAGCACAGGAGUCCCAGGUUUUAUGGGAGGGAGAAUACUGAAGCAGGAUUCUGAGGAUGGGGUAAGUUGGAUGCUGUACAGAGUAGACUGGAUGCUGCAUCUGCUAAUCUAAUCAUAGACAUGCUUGGAGGACAAAGGGGCUUUAUGUCAGUUUGUGAGGGAGGGGAGAGAGAGAGAGAGCAAGGAGAGAGAGAGAGAGAGAGAGAGAGAGAGAGAGAGAGAGAGAGGCGUUUAAGCUAUUAAACUAUUAGGAUUUUGGGACUGACUAAUCUUUCUGGUUUCUUCUGUGAACUGUAACUAAUUGACAGUUAACCAUUCUAGACUCUGCUUCUAGAACUCUGAGUCCUAUUCGCAAGACAAGUAGCUAUGAAGAGCAAGACAAAGUGUCCCCCAUCAGCAAAUUAAAAUGUCAGAGUCACGGUUUAAACAGCAAGACACGUGUGGGGCAUGCCCACGAAGUCGACAAAUUCAAACAACUUUAGUCUUCUUCCUCAGCUCCUUCCUCCUCAUGGUGGUGCACUGAAGUCUUGCUGUAAUUGCACGAAGAGUGCCACUGUGUGGGGGAGCAUUCUGGAAGAGGCUGGGAGAAGGCAGGGGAGCCAGGCAGGCAGAGUGGUUCCUGCCCUCAGGGAGCUUUGACGCUGUAGCCAGAAGCUUUGAUUGUGUUCUAAGAAUUCUCUUUGCAGGCUCCUGGCUGCAUUAGGAGGAACUCGAAAGCUGAUUUAAAAUAAUUUCCUACCAAGGGAACAGAGUGGGAAUCCGGAUGGAUGGAGAAUUGUUAAUUUGACAUUUAAGAUUGAGGGACAAGUGGGUAUUUGUCUCAUCCCCUCGGGUUUUUUUUCUCCGUGGGAGAGAAGCAGCCAGCCUCACUGAUUGUCAAGUGUUAAUGGGAACCCUUCCAUUUUUCCCUAUUGAAAACAUGUAAUUUAAUGUGAAGCUUCUAUUGGUGGGCCGUGAGCAGGCAGAAUUCUCAGGAUAAUGAACUUGAUUUUCCACUUGAAAUGCAAUCCGCAUUCACGAAUUAUCUUUUUAUAAGGGAGACAUGGAGCAAAGUGGCUCACCCAUACAUCUCAGUUGACCUCACAAACACCUCUGAAGAGAGCGUCAUUACCUAUCUUUUAUAGACAACAAGGGGAAAUGGUAGCCUGGGGCUCUGGACUGUGCCAGUUCACUUCUGGUAGAUGAACAACUUGUUAUUUCGUUUCCCUUGGUCGAAUUGUUAUAAACAUUGCAACAUUAACACCUGCAUGACAUUUGCACGACUCAGCGCUUCGCAGCCUGGUCACGUGUCUUCUGUGGCUACUCUGCUAACCCUGUGUGCUUCAUCUGUAACAAUGGGUAAGCCCAGAUCUCUGCAGCCCAGCUUGCUUUUGUCCUAGACUAAAUCGAUAGCAAUCCAGCCUCCAGAAGUCUAAUCUAUUUCUUUAUUUGCAGAGUCUCUCUGGGGUGACACCCUUGGCCAGAGAAGACAACACUGGCACUCUCCUGUCAGAGUCCGAAAGCUCAAGAUGUAGAUGCUGUUACCACCUUGCCUGGGGCUUCCUGCUACUUGGCUGUCUUGAGUCAACAAUAGCCAAGGGGACAGAAGAAAGAGAGAAAAGUUAUAUCUAUAUGUUUGAACAGUUUGAUCCCUAAUGGAAUGGACGCUGGAGAUGAGGCAAACACAGCCCAGAGAGAACCACCAUUGUGACGCAUUAGAGAAGCACCCAUGACGAUCAAUCACUGCUGAUGGCCUGGACCGCCAGCAUCAAUACUCUAGCACUCUGGAGACUUGGAAAGUAAAACAAAGGUUGCUUGAACGCAAACACUCUGCCACAGCGUUUUAUCUGAUAGUGGGGGUGCGCGCUCCACUCAGUGACUGACAGGCAAGUAACAUAUACAGUGUGCACACGUUGGAUGGAGGGACAUAUCCCACAACCGGAUGGAGCCAGUGAAUGAUACGAGGACAUGAUUGCCCUAAGGUAUGGCUGAGGAGAAGGUUUUAAUGUAGACGUGAGGCAGAGUACGGCCAGAGGCAUCUGGGAGAGUUCAGAUCAAACCAGGCCAUAAGAGGAAAAAACAAGGGGUGGAGGUGAGAGGGAAAAAGAAGAGUGGGGACAAUCAGACUAAGAGAACCAAGAGCAAGUCAAGAGAGACAGAACAACCAAGAGGGGCUGAAAUGCCAGGGUUCUAUAGGAGAGAGAAGCUGGCAGGGAAGGGAGUCAAGCCCCAGGACUAUAGAGGUUUAGGGUAGCGGUAUAGUGAGAAGAGCUGAGAAGAGCCAAGACUCUGUAACUGGGACUUACAAUACUGAGAGAACCCAGAGGUCAGCAUGUGCUUUGGUUUGCUGCCAUUUGUCCCUGAGUUUCUCUGGGACCUGACAGCCAGGUAGGCUGAGGUUUUAUUACACUACUCACCAUGAUGAACAAUUUAGAACUCAUCAAUUAUUCAUGUCUGGGAUUUUUCCAUUUAACAUUUUGUGCAGCAAGUUGUGUAGGUAAGUAAAUCAUGGACAACAGAACUCCGGAGGCUGCAGCGGGAGAACUCCUGAGUGCCUAUUAAAUGACUUGGUUCUGGUUCCAAUGGCGGAGGUUCUGAAGUGGGCACUGCCAGCACCUACUGAAUUCUUACCAGCUCCGAGCGACUCUAACGUGGGUGUUCUCAGAACCACAUUUUGAGAAACAGUCCUCCGUAUUGACAUAAUUGGCAGCAUCCUUCCUUUAAACACUUCCCUUUGGUUGCUAUGAUACACCCCUCCUCCCCAAGUUCUGUGGGCUCUCUAAUUCUGUUCUCCAUCUCCCACUUCCUCUCCAGCCUGUACCACUGUCCCCAGACUCUCUGCUCCUUCCUCCGCUGUCUGUCCCCUGGGGCAUGGCUCCAACUUGGGCAGAUGGUCCAACCUUGCCCUGGUGAGUGCCAGCCUCCUGGUGAGAUCCGUGGAUUUUGGAACAGAGUUGUACUUCAUUCAGCCUGGGUCCAGGACUUAGCUGUGAAGAAGGUGAUAUUGACGCUGCUGCUCCAAUCACCCCCACCCUGCUCUGGGCCUUUCCUCUUCCAUUAAGAUCUCCUGCUUUGCAGUUUUCUAAUCAAAUUAGUUCCGAGGGAAGAGCUGAUCUGUUUACACGGUCACACUAAUGUGCCAACUCUCCCAGUCACUGGCAUUUGCAAAGCCUUUUUCCGUCUUUGUGGUUUCAACCCUGUUAUUUCAGGCUUCCCUUAGCAGAUAGGGUGAUUCAGAAGGGCACGACCAAGGGAUAGGGCGAGCUGAUUUGAGAAGGGCUGGCUCUUCUCUUCUUCGACAUUUCUAGGAGCGUAGACUGAAAACUAGCCUGUCAAACGGCUGGGAGGGCAGGACUUGGACCUUCUAGGUCUUGGGCAAGGAUAAGCAAUAACUGCAGUCACAAUAGGCCAGACCCUAGAAGCACGGAGGAUAAGGACAGACUACAGAGCUGCAAUUGGGCUUACUUCCUGCCACGCCUACCCAUGGCCACGCCUACCCAUAGCCACUCCUACCCAUAUACUUCUAAGAGCUCCUCUUCACUGGUCAGGUCUCAUCUUAAAAGUUCUCUCUUGGGAAUAAAUAGCCUGACCUGGCCGCCAGGUUGUGGUCCCUUUUUGUGAUCCUGUGUUAGCAACCGCUUGCCUUUGUUGUAUUUAUCACAGGUUGUAAUUAUUUGAUUUCCUUCUUCCUGUCUCCUUCUGGAGUUAAGUAAGGCUCCAGGCGGGUGAGACCAGGCUGCCUCACACCCCUUCUAUGCAGGUUCAAAACAGAGAUCAACAGGAAGCCGGAAGGACAGCAUGAACAAGCCCUACCACCCUGCAGUCCCCGAGCUGAAGCAAACUGUCCUCAAUAGGCAUGUGGUGCAGAAAGGCAGAAAACUGACAGUAAUAUAAAUGAUUCUUGUAUGUAAAACUGCCAAUAGAUGUUUGCCCAGUAGAGGGGGCAAUUGGCGCUUUUCCUGCGACUAUCAAGAUCUGAAUGCGCCAUAGUUUUCCUGAGGUCCCGUGUGCUCUUAGAAUUCUCCUUUGAGCCAGUCAGAACAUCUUACUGACUGCCUCAUUAGUUGGUAAAAUAACAUCUCUGACAAUCUCUGACAUAUUAGUUUCAUAUUUGUACCUGAGUCAAAUGUUUAGCUUCUUAAAAAUAUUUUUUUCAUUCGAACUUCAUGGAAACCAAGUAUUUUGUGCAUCAAAAGAUACUAUCAGGAAAAUGAAAAGUCCCCCUACAAAUGGAGGAAAAAAAACCCAACCCACACACAAAUCACAUCUAGAGAAUAAAGAACUAAACUUCAGCAAUACCGACAGGAGCAGUGACAAACAAACACAAACAAAACAACAACAAUAACAAAACCAAUUAAAAAUGGUCAAAGGCUUCAAUUAGGCAGCUCUCUAAAGAAAAUACAAAAGCACAUGUGAAUGUCACCAGAGUUGUUAGGUCAAAGCCUGAGCUCUCCUGGCAUAGCGGAAGGACCACAGGACAAAGGCAAGCUGGCAGAGGAUAGACAAAGACUGUCCCCAUGUAACUUCACAUAACUAACAUCAGUCUGCAGAAAAGCCCUUGACAUAGGAGCCAGGUAGAUGGUUGCUGUGUAACCAUAAAGGUUACUCACCUUGUGACCCCGUGCUUUGGUUUGAUUUGUUUCCCCCUCACUACUCUAGCCACACCUAUGCGAAGGAGCAUUUUCCCUCCAGUCUGAUUCUGUCUCUAACCAUGUGUCCCCGGUGGACUCCUUUGACACAGUAUAAAAGCCUGAAAUUGGGUGCCCUCAGAACUCAGAUCUACAGUCUGGCAUGAAAAUUCUCUCUCUCUCUCUCUCUCUCUCUCUCUCUCUCUCUCUCUCUCUCUCUCUCUCCCCUUCCUUCCCUAUUCCUCCCUCCCUACUUCUCCAUCUGUCCUUGAUAAUUCUACUCCUAGAUGUAAAUACAGGAGACUGAAAGCAGGGAUUUGACAGAUGUUUGAGCAUGGCCAUAGCAGCAUUAGUAACAGCAGCCAAUGUUGAAGUAAUCUGAAGCCAGGUAAGCCAGGUAGAUAUCUAUGAUCUUAUUACGAAGCUGAGGUAGGACUAUCAAGAGUCAAGGCCAGCCUAGAGAUCCUGUCACACACACACACACACACACACACACACACACACACACACACACACACACACACACGGGGGGGGGCGCAUGAUAGAGAGAAUCAACCAGCAGAUAAUGAAUGAAUGAAUGAAAUAUUGCAUAUAAAUACAGUGGGGGAUGCUAUUCAACCACUUAGAGGAAUAAAAUGCCAAUAUAUGCUACAAAUGAAUGGACUUUGUGUUAAUUCGGGUUUCCAUUCUGUGAUGAAACAUCAUGACCAAAACCAGCUUGAGGUGGGAAGGGUUUAUUCUGUUUACACUUCCAGGUAACAGUCCAUCACUAAUGGGAGUCCGGGAGGUACCUUAAGGGCAGAUGCUGAAGGCGCAGGAGCUGAUGCAGAGGCCGUGAAGGGGGGCUUCUUACUGGCUUGUUCCUCAUGGCUUGC